UACGUAGGUGGCAAGCGUUUAUCCGGAAUUAUUGGGCGUAAAGCGCGCGCAGGCGGUCCUUUAAGUCUGAUGUGAAAGCCCACGGCUCAACCGUGGAGGGUCAUUGGAAACUGGGGGACUUUGAGUGCAGGAGAGAAGAGUGGAAUUCCACGUGUAGCGGUGAAAUGCGUAGAGAUGUGGAGGAACACCAGUGGCGAAGGCGACUCUUUGGCCUGUAACUGACGCUGAGGCGCGAAAGCGUGGGGAUCAAACAGG
rnacentral:rRNA from 1 species